UCCACUGAGCUGUGUAGAGCUGUGCAGGUUCCAACCAUAUUUACUUAAGAUUUUGCCAAAGGUACUAUCCUUCUCCUUAACAAGCUUCGCUAAGCUUUUACAAGCACAUGGUGAUUUCUGCUUGUUUCAUUUAAUCUGAUGGGAUGAAGUUCUUUUACCUGUACUGGAAAAUAAUUGCUUGCCUAUCUUUUGCAGUGUUCUCAAAUCUUCUCCCAUGUGGCUAAAGCAGAUCCUUCAGCCUGCCGGCCUACGUUCUGUAAGAUGGAUGUGCUCUGUGUUCCCCCUCCUGCUUCCCACAUGGUGAAAACUGAUGAACCUUAGUGCUCUGUAUCCCCCGGAUGGCAGAAGAUUAUUACAGUCUGGGUGCAAACCAGAAUCACCCUCUUAAGUCUCUAAUCUUUACGAGGUAAGCCUAUAUAUUUCUGCUUGCCUAGAAACAUGUAAUGAAAGAUCUGCGUCAUUUACAGUCAAUUUUAAUAAACUUUUUAUUUAUAUUUCGUCUAGUUAAGAAUGUGAGCUAAUACAGUUAGCAGCUUACAGAAGUCCUGCAGAACUGGAGAUAAAUACAGUUGUAUCAUGGUAACAAAGAUGUGUCCAGGUAAUGAAAAGAAUUAAAAAAUGAGAGAAAAAACAGAAAGGGGGGUACAAAUGAUCCUCAGAAUUGCUCCUUCAGAUCCAACAGAUCCACCAGGAACACAGGAGGAAAAGCCAUCAGUGAACCGACGACAGCGGUCACGUAGCUGCUCAGAAAGAGUUCAGUCCAGCCUCCAGACCAAGGGUACGAGGAGAUCUCCCUGGCAGCCCAGCACCUGCUGAACGGAGCAAUUACGGCUAGCCGGCUGAUUUGCCUGCACUGCUAAACUGCCGGGAGAAGGCAUGCAAACGUGAAGGACGUAAUCUGACGGCAGACUACAGCCAAUGCGACAGGGUCAGCCGUGGCUACGGGGGGCCGUAUGGGGCCCAGACCACCCAGCAGCACAGGCAGCCCCGGCGCCCGACACAGCAGAGGUGUAGCACAGCACAGCGCGUUCUCCUGCUCCCCGACUCGUCCUGCUGCGGAGCCCUCGCGCCAGUGCCGGCACCCCUCACGCCAGCUCCGUGAGCAGGCAGCCCUUCUCCGACGGCCGCCUGCCUCCCCCUGGG